CUCUUGUUGUUCCUAUUUCAGCAGCUGCAGAACAGUGCUGUGGGGUGAUGUUCUCAGAUUGGCACAGCUUGUUCACGGAGCAGGCAAAUGCAGACCCAGCUCUCGCUGCCUCCGGAGCCUGCAGAUUCGCCCAGUGGUCCCUUCAGCUGGUGAAGGCUCUCAUCCAGCUGCACAUUAGCCUCAGCCCCAAAUCUGAAGAACAGUGCCAGGAAAUAGAACCAUCCAACUGGAAGAGGAAGGGCUUGAGGCUGGCAAGAGGAGGGAAUAAGGUCAUCGUCAUCUUGAGGUCUAAGAAGGACUUUGUCCACCACUAGGAGACCUCUACACCCCAAUAAAGACAGAGAAGCCACAGGAGCUUUAAAUUUCAGUGCCAUGAAAGAGAAAGAAGAUGUCAGCCCACAAAAUAUGACAAAGACAGAGUGAAUAAGCUCUGGCCUGCCACUUCCCUGCAACGUAGGGUGACUGCUUUUGGGAAUAAACUGUCUGUUUCCAAAUAGCUACAAGGGCCAUUUGGAAUGUUCUCACCACAAAGAAGUGAUAAGUGACUG
rnacentral:lncRNA from 1 species